GCAUCAUUAGCUCAAUUGGAUAGAGUACCUCGUUUCUACCGAGGGGGUUGGGGGUUCAAAGCCCUCAUGAUGCA
rnacentral:tRNA from 1 species